GUUGCUCAUCAAUGUGUCAUCAUACAUGCAGCAGAGUUAGCUUACUGCCAUAAUAAAAAUAUAAAAAAUACAGAUUCCUGAGUAAUAUGUGUGUUUCCAGGAUCAUGGAGAAGAGGACUUGAGGGAGCCUGUUAAAGAGCGGAUGUGAGGGAGGACAGUAAAAAGCUUAGGGAUCAGGAGAGGGCUCGGUAUAAAGGCUGCCUGGGACAAGCAGACGCUCAGACCAGUGCGGCUCUGCUCAUCUUAAAGCACACUUCCUUAAACAACUGACCAAAGCUGACACAGCACGUGAGUAACAUAUAGCCUCUUCUGCUUCUUCCCCUCUCUUCUCGUUUCUCAGGCUUUCCCCCGCUCUCUGUAGCUCCUGUCUUUCUCCUCCUGAACGUCCUGUCCUGUCUUACGUUUGUGUACAGAGCUGUCUUGCUGUUGUAAGUAUGGCUGAUCUACUCCGGCCUCUUAUCUCGCUUGUCAGUGGAGCAGUCUGUUGUUUGUUACUUCCACACUUCUCCCCCCUCCUCCCGCCUCUCUUAUCUACUAUCUAUUUGUCAACGUCUCCCUUGCAUAAUAACAUGGGAUCCCCUGUGUCCUUCUUACUCUAAACUUACUGUUUCUGACACACACGUACACACACACUCACACGUACACACUCACUCAAAUACUGUAUGUUUGGCCUAAUUUGACUGUUGCUUCUCUUUCUCACUGCUGACAAAAAAAACGUCCAUAAUUUCUGUAAGAGGUCUGUCCUUAGUGCCACUCACUUGUGUUGGUGUGGAAACACUGUUCUGCAUGUAUGCCUAUGCACAGUAUCUGUAUAUGAGCACGUGUGUAUGUGUAUGUGUCCAGGACAAAGCAGAAUGAGCAUGCGCAGAGCAGUGUCUGGUUGCUUGGUGCUGGCGUGCCUGGUGGUGCUGCUGGCCGAGAGGACAGAGGGACACAUCACCUUCUUCAGUCCAAAGGAGAUGAUGCUGAUGAAGGAGAGAGAAGGUAGAAAGGACAUAGAGCCUCGAUCAGAGGACGGUCCGUUUGAAGAGGUUACAGUCCAACAGCUUCCUGAGGUGGAACGUGGUGGAAAUCCUGAUAAAACAGUGGAGAUUGCCAUCCGUCUUUCACCAAAACAGCUAGAUCAUGUGGCUCCAGUGCUCGAAGACAUCAUCCAUGAAAUAGUGGAGGAACGUCAGAAAGCCAAAUAGCGAGGCCGAAGACACCGGGAGAUAACGCUGUACAAAUUCUUCAAAAAGCACUGAAUGUUUUAAUGUGUUUUAAUGAAACAGUCAAUAAAAGGAAAGUGACUGUGUCACUUAAUGGAACUGCAGUUGUCAUUUCUGAAGAAGCAAGUCUGUAUGAGUUGGCCUCAUGGUAAAACCUUUUCAUGACUAAUACGUGUUAAGUGAUGAGCAUAUCUGGUCUGUUAUUCACACAAAUGAAAAUGACAAAGCUUUGUCAUUUUACAAAUAUUCAACACAUGAUUCAUUGAGCUUCACAUUUUUGGAGCUUUUUGACUAUCUUUAUUCAAGAGCGUGUUUUUCAAUUUGAGAGCAUGCCUCCUAAUAUUUCACAUUCAGAUUUUGCAAUGCGUUCCCCUAUAAUGGUAAUUUUUAUCUUGUCUUGUACUGUCCUAUUCUCCGUAUGCUCAUCUUAUGUUUGUCCUACUUACAGCGAUUAGGAGUAGAGCACACUCUGGUCAUGUCAGCUUGUAUUCUUGUAUCUCUAGAUGUGUCAGCUUGUAUCUCUUAAAUCAGCUGGAUGUACGUAGUUGCACAGCUGAUUGUCUGUAAACAUUGUCACCCAGUUGAUGACUAUAUAGUCCAAUUGUAUUCUCUGUUCGUUGAACUUCACUGCAGACUGCUUGACACUCUGUUGUUUGUUGUUCCAUUCUUGCAAGAAUAAAGAGCUCACUUCUUUAACCAAGAAUCUUUAUUUCAGUAUAAUAGAUUCACUUCUCACCACCCUUUGGUUUAGUUUGUAUCGGCUGAAUUCCACAACACCCCCCAAACCAUGUCCUCACAUUCACACAGCCCCUGCUUGUGCUUAGAUUUGUUCUGCCUCUCCUCAAACUUCAUGCUUGCACAGAUUUUUGCGCUCCACCUCCAGCCCUUCUCCUCACACUCAGGCUGCUUCUGUACUUGUGAAACGCCUGCUCUCGGAUUUCUCCUCUAGUCUUGGAUUAUUGACAAAAUUCCCCAACCAAUAGAAUGCCAGGUGAAGUGUUGACCAAUGAAAUGAUCCCUACCUUGUUGUGGGUACAUUUGCUUUACUUUGUAAGUGUCCCAGACGGGCUGUUACGCUUUAACAAGGUUCAUUCAUUCCCUUCCGCCUCCAAGGCUUAAUAUAUGUAGUUCCCUGCAUUUGUUUUGGAAUAAAAUAACAGUCAAUAUACAUAUACAGUAUCUUUUUUGUUUUCUUUAAUGACUAUACUGGAGCCAACUUUUUUAUUUUGCCAUACCCUGGCGAGGAUGGCGUACAUCAACGUCAGCUCAUGUUGACCGCUGCACACAGAGAGAUAUUAGCUUGCUGAUGCUAGCUAAAACUUCUACUUAAUACACCCAUGGUCUGCACUGCAUUAGGCUAUCUCCCUCGCUGUAGCUAUAAUUAAUUUCCUUCCAAGCUUAAACUGAACAUACAUAUGUUUUUUCCAAUAGUGAGUGAGGACUGG
rnacentral:lncRNA from 1 species